AACGAACGCUGGCGGCAUGCCUAACACAUGCAAGUCGAACGAGACCUUCGGGGCUAGUGGCGCACGGGUGCGUAACGCGUGGGAAUCUGCCCUUGGGUUCGGAAUAACAGUGAGAAAUUACUGCUAAUACCGGAUGAUGUCUUCGGACCAAAGAUUUAUCGCCCUUGGAUGAGCCCGCGUAGGAUUAGCUAGUUGGUGGGGUAAUGGCCUACCAAGGCGACGAUCCUUAGCUGGUCUGAGAGGAUGAUCAGCCACACUGGGACUGAGACACGGCCCAGACUCCUACGGGAGGCAGCAGUGGGGAAUAUUGCGCAAUGGGCGAAAGCCUGACGCAGCAAUGCCGCGUGAGUGAUGAAGGUCUUAGGGUUGUAAAGUUCUUUUACCCGGGAUGAUAAUGACGGUACCGGGAGAAGAAGCUCCGGCUAACUCCGUG
rnacentral:rRNA from 1 species